AAAUUCGCAAAUAAGUGCAUAAUUAGUUCUCAAUAAAAUAUCUCUCUCAGUUCUCAUUGCAGGAGCGGUUUCAAAUUCAAUUUUCAAAUUUGUAUAUUUAAUCAUGAGACUAGUGUUGUUUGUUUUUACUCUAUUGGUGUUUGUGUGUGGAAUACUGGCUAAUAUUAUAACUACUACAACACCAAAACCUCUAUUGAGGCCAGGAGGAAAGACUGCUUAUCGCUCUGUGGGUGGCAACUCCAGACGCAGUAGAGACGUAAAUGGUGGUAAGAGACAAUUCCUUAUACAUCUAUUAAAAAAAAACAAGUAUUAAAUUGAUAGUCACGACCAGUUUAUUCAGGCUAAGCCGGUUCUUCCCGUGAGCGACUCCCCACCAACAAAAGCCACACGUAUUUACUUUUUUUUAUUAGUAUAUCAAGAAAUAAUUGAUAGCGAGCAUCAACAGAGUUUGGCUACCUUAGUCGUCAACAAUAGUUAAUUAUUAAUUUUUUAAAAUAGUUAAUUUUAAUAAUUAAUAUACUCUGAUUAGAGUUUCUGAGAAGCUGUAAAAACAAACAAACAUAGUUGAUAUUAUUGAUUAACGCUCUCAUUGCCGAUAGAGGCAUUGCACAAGUGACUUCGCAUUUCAUUUUCAAUUUAUAGCUGCAAUUAUGAGGCUGGUACUGUUAGCGUUUACUUUACUUCUAUUAGUGUCGGGAAUGCUGGCAAAAAUAAUUACAACACCAAAACCAAGAUCGUUUCCAAAAAAGGGUUGGUCUGCAGGAGGAUUGUCGAGACGUGCCCGAGACAUAAAUGCUGGACAACCUGACAAAGGGCACCAAAGAGAUGAAGAGCUAAAGGAAUCAGGCAGUGAUCUCCACGGUGUGGGCUCACAAUCCAGACGGAGGGGCCGUGAUGUUAGUGGGAUGGCAUCAGUCGACCAAAUACCAAUGGGCCAAGACAAUCGAUUCUCUGAACGAGACCUUUCUCCCCACAGAUGGCUACAUCAGGGCAAGAAUGAGACGUGACAACACCAAGAGAGCUGGCCUGAAAAAGUUAUCAACGAAAUUUCAACCUAAAAAGGACCAAUCGAAGGAUAAGCUCCAUUCGACAGCAAGGUCUUUGGGACCCUUGCGAGCAAGGCGUGCGUAAAUAGUUAACAACUGGUUGGAAUAAUCACAUAUUAAAAAGUAAGAUUACAAAUGGAGAGCUUUAAAGAUAAUAAAGGAUAAUAAUAUUGAGAAAACACCGAUGAAACUGCAGAGGAAAGUUUAACGCAAAACUGCAUUACUUCGAAAUGGAAACUCAUGAAAAAUACAAGGGAACCAACUUGCAAAAAAAUUAAACAUAAGUUGUGUUUAAUAAAUAAAGUAUUUUAACACUUGA